CUGCGAAAGGAGAAGCUGUCCACGAUGCAUUCACGUGAUCCUUCCUUCCCUUGAAAUAAAACAAAAAUGAAGGGUCUUAUAAGCUAGCUGUCGACGACUGAGACCGAUCAGACCUUCAUCGACGACGCAACUUUGAAAGGAUAUUGCUUCUGUACAAGGAUGAAGUCAAGCAAGACUCUGGUAAUUUGUAACAUAUCUUUCGUUAGUUGAAUAAAAGAGUAGUAAAAUAAUGUGCUGAAAUAAAAAAGGAAUAUAUACA